AACGAACGCUGGCGGCAUGCCUAACACAUGCAAGUCGAACGAGACCUUCGGGUCUAGUGGCGCACGGGUGCGUAACGCGUGGGAACCUGCCCUUAGGUUCGGAAUAACUCCCCGAAAGGGGUGCUAAUACCGGAUAAUGUCUUCGGACCAAAGAUUUAUCGCCUUUGGAUGGGCCCGCGUUGGAUUAGCUAGUUGGUAGGGUAAAAGCCUACCAAGGCGACGAUCCAUAGCUGGUCUGAGAGGAUGAUCAGCCACACUGGGACUGAGACACGGCCCAGACCCCUACGGGGGGCAGCAGGGGGGAAUAUUGGAAAAGGGGCGAAAGCCUGAUCCAGCAAGGCCGCGUGAGUGAUGAAGGCCUUAGGGUUGUAAAGCUCUUUUACCCGGGAUGAUAAUAACAGUACCGGGAGAAUAAGCCCCGGCUACCUCCGU
rnacentral:rRNA from 1 species